rnacentral:rRNA from 1 species
AUUGAACGCUGGCGGCAGGCCUAACACAUGCAAGUCGAACGGUAACAGAAAGCAGCUUGCUGCUUUGCUGACGAGUGGCGGCCGGGUGAGUAAUGUCUGGGAAACUGCCUGAUGGAGGGGGAUAACUACUGGAAACGGUAGCUAAUACCGCAUAACGUCGCAAGACCAAAGAGGGGGACCUUCGGGCCUCUUGCCAUCGGAUGUGCCCAGAUGGGAUUAGCUAGUAGGUGGGGUAAAGGCUCACCUAGGCGACGAUCCCUAGCUGGUCUGAGAGGAUGACCAGCCACACUGGAACUGAGACACGGUCCAGACUCCUACGGGAGGCAGCAGUGGGGAAUAUUGCACAAUGGGCGCAAGCCUGAUGCAGCCAUGCCGCGUGUAUGAAGAAGGCCUUCGGGUUGUAAAGUACUUUCAGCGGGGAGGAAGGGAGUAAAGUUAAUACCUUUGCUCAUUGACGUUACCCGCAGAAGAAGCACCGGCUAACUCCGUG